rnacentral:rRNA from 1 species
ACGAACGCUGGCGGCUGCUUAACACAUGCAAGUCGAACGGAGUGGCGAACGGGUGAGUAACGCGUGAGCAAACUGCCUAUGACAGUGGGAUAGCCUCGGGAAACCGGGAUUAAUACCGCAUAGUCAUAGAUGUGCUCGCGUCUGAUUAGCUAGUUGGUGAGAGAACAGCCCACCAAGGCGACAAUCAGUAGCCGGUCUGGGAGGAUGAACGGCCACCUUGGAACUGUGACACAGUCCCAACUCCUGCGGGAGGCAGCAGUGGGUAAUAUUGCACAAUGGGGGAAAUCCUGAUGCAGCGACGCCGCGUGAACGCAGAAGGUAUUCGUAUCGUAAAGUUCUGUCCUAUGGGAAGCAGUACCAUAGAAGAAAGCUCCUGCUAAAUACGUGCCAGCAGCCGCGGUAAUUC